rnacentral:lncRNA from 12 species
AGCAGUUUCUCUCGGCAGAUCUCCAGUUUCAAGGAUGUGUGGAGACCUUGCCUGUCAACAGGCCUUUUGUGACUCACAACAAAUUCCACUCCAUGUCGUUGUCCUGCGCAUUACCUGGGGACAGUCCUGCAACCUGGGCUUUUCCUGUGGUCCGGUGACUCAGAAUUAUUUCCAAUGUCUGCACAGCUGUCCAGAAGCCUAUACACUGAGCAAUGUGAAUUUUUCCUCAUUUACCCUCCAGCUACAACAUCGCUGCUUUUCAAGCCAGGUCUCCUGAACCGUGGUCAACUGGUCGACAGCCACUGGCCAGACUGCAGUAGUAGAAGCACCUUGGGCUGGGCCCACUGUGUUCCGCAUCUAGCAUGUGGUGCUCAUUCUGAUUUUUACACAUUUUAGGCCGAGGGCGGUGAUGCCCGUGUGCAGGGGGGAUGUCGGAGAAGCACAUCACAAAGGGCUUUGCUAAGAUCUUCCAAGAAAGAUAAGACUUUUCCAUUCAGUACUUUGAAUUAGUGUUCUUGAAAUAUUUUACCAAAGUCGCUAUAACUCUAAGCUGCUUUGUCAAAUCGUGGCAUGGAGACAAAAUGUCUCGUACAACAGGUCCUUUGGAGGAAACAGCAAGAAGAGGGAACGGCUACUCCCUAGUUCCAAGCUCUGGCCAUUAAAUCAGUUCCAAGACGGGCUUCACAAAUGCUCAGGGUCGGGUUGGUACUGGGGUAGUUUUGAUAGACGGUCUCUUUCAUGGCCUUGCAUAAACCAAAUGCCAUGAGUAAAAUUCUGCUGAGGGUCCCAGGCCGCCAACUCCUGCAGGACACCAUCCUGGGAAGUAUUCUUAGAACCUUGGCCGUGUCCAGGUCUGUCCUGCCCGCUAUCAUCCUCAGUAAAGAGAAGAUCUUGCUUAUCAUUAAGCGUCGCCCAAUUUGAACUGGGUCCCCAGUGAUAUCCACCAGCAGAUGUCAUUGUGAAAUGUGGUUGCCAGAGAAGUGGCUUGCAGAUGUCCGCCCGGGGACUCUCUUCCAUGCAGUGAAGGGAAAGCCUAUUGUCCUAACACCUUAACCACCACUCCCCACGCCUCCCUACACGUAAAUGAAAUCAGUGCUAAAUGGAAGGUCCAUUUACUGAAGCUACUAUCACAUUUAAUUAGUUGCUGGGAAAUACAAAAAAAAAAGUGCCUUUUUUGUUUUUUAGCAAACUGACUCCUUGUAAUUCCUAUUUUGCUUCUGGAGAGUCCAGUCGGAGUCCUGUGAAUGCCUCAAACCAACGUUUGCUUCUGUUAAAGU